rnacentral:rRNA from 1 species
UACGGAGGGUGCAAGCGUUAUCCGGAUUCACUGGGUUUAAAGGGUGCGUAGGAGGGCAGGUAAGUCAGUGGUGAAAUCCCCGAGCUUAACUUGGGAACUGCCGUUGAUACUAUCUGUCUUGAAUGUUGUGGAGGUGAGCGGAAUAUGUCAUGUAGCGGUGAAAUGCUUAGAUAUGACAUAGAACACCAAUUGCGAAGGCAGCUCGCUACACAAUUAUUGACUCUGAUGCACGAAAGCGUGGGAUCAAACAGG